rnacentral:rRNA from 1 species
GGGCCCGCACAAGCGGUGGAGUAUGUGGUUUAAUUCGAUGCAACGCGAAGAACCUUACCAGGGUUUGACAUCCUGCGAAUCUCUUGGAAACAGGAGAGUGCCUUCGGGAACGCAGUGACAGGUGGUGCAUGGCUGUCGUCAGCUCGUGUCGUGAGAUGUUGGGUUAAGUCCCGCAACGAGCGCAACCCACGUCUUUAGUUGCCAGCAUUUAGUUGGGCACUCUAGAGAGACUGCCGGUGAUAAACCGGAGGAAGGUGUGGAUGACGUCAAGUCAUCAUGCCCCUUACAUCCUGGGCUACACACGUACUACAAUGGCACUUACAAUGGGAAGCAAAGAGGUGACUCCUAGCUAAUCCCAAAAAUGUGUCUCAGUUCGGAUUGCACUCUGCAACUCGAGUGCAUGAAGCUGGAAUUGCUAGUAAUCGU